rnacentral:rRNA from 1 species
AGCAAAGCCGCGAGGUAGAGCAACUCUCAAAAAAACAAUCUCAGUUCAGACUGCAGGCUGCAACUCGCCUGCACGAAGUCGGAAUUGCUAGUAAUCGUAGGUCAGCAUACUACGGUGAAUACGUUCCCGGGCCUUGUACACACCGCCCGUCAAACCAUGAGAGUUGGCAACACCCGAAGUCGGUAGUCUAACCGCAAGGAGGACGCCGCCGAAGGUGGGGUUGAUGAUUAGGGUUAAGUCGUAACAAGGUAUC